UACGGAGGAUCCGAGCGUUAUCCGGAUUUAUUGGGUUUAAAGGGAGCGUAGGUGGAUUGUUAAGUCAGUUGUGAAAGUUUGCGGCUCAACCGUAAAAUUGCAGUUGAAACUGGCAGUCUUGAGUACAGUAGAGGUGGGCGGAAUUCGUGGUGUAGCGGUGAAAUGCAUAGAUAUCGCGCAGAACCCCGAUUGCGAAGGCAGCCUGCCGGCCCCACACUGACGCUGAGGCACGAAAGCGUGGGGAGCAAACAGG
rnacentral:rRNA from 1 species